UACAGAGGGUGCGAGCGUUGUUCGGAAUUAUUGGGCGUAAAGAGCUCGUAGGCGGUGUGUCGCGUCGGCCGUGAAAACCUGGGGCUCAACUCUGGGCGUGCGGUCGAUACGGGCAUCACUUGAGUUCGGCAGGGGAGACUGGAAUUCCUGGUGUAGCGGUGAAAUGCGCAGAUAUCAGGAGGAACACCGGUGGCGAAGGCGGGUCUCUGGGCCGAUACUGACGCUGAGGAGCGAAAGCAUGGGUAGCGAACAGG
rnacentral:rRNA from 1 species